rnacentral:lncRNA from 1 species
CGACACUAAAUGAAAGCAGAGGUGCUGUGGGCUGUGGCAGGUGUUCAGUGUGGAUGUGCUCCGCUGCAGCGCAGUGAUGGUCUAGAGAAGAUGAGCUCAGAUUGAAGUGUUUGCUCAUAAUUUUUGAAUGGGGUGAAUCUCAUGACCACAACAAUGUCCACCAGUAAAUCUGCCGCCAGAAGAGCAAUUCUACAGACCUCCAGGACUAGAUGGAACAGGACGGAUAACUUUGAUAUUGUUCCUGUUAUCAAUUCAGACACAAGCAAGUGUGAUGGAGACAACGUAGAGCGCUGGCUUACGGCAAUCUCCAAGUAA